rnacentral:rRNA from 1 species
CAAAAAGUUACUCAAGUGCACAUAGAGGAUGCCUUGACGCAAAAUACCGAUGAAGGACGUGGCAGUAUGCGAUAAGCUUCGGGGAGCUAACAAGCAAGCUUUGAACCGAAGAUUUCCGAAUGGGGAAACCCAGCUAGGGUAAUGCCUAGUUAUUCAUAUCUGAACACAUAGGAUAUGCAAAGGUAAGUUCCCGAACUGAAACAUCUAAGUAGGGAGAGGAAAAGAAAAUAACCAAUGAUUCCGAAAGUAGUGGCGAGCGAAAUCGGAAGAGCCCAAACUUUUAAAGUUUUUACUUUAGUUAGGUUUUAUUUUUUAUAAAAUAAAACUGGUUUUAAAGUAAAUCUGGCUGACAGGCUAAUGCUUUAAGAGGGUUGUAAGGUAUAAAUUUUCAAAUUAAUAGACAAAUUGAUUCAAUCUGUUUAUUGAUUUGGAUUCAACGACUGCUGUCAAAGUUGUUAUAAAGUCAUAAACUUGGAUACCCGAGCAGAAGAACUUGGAAGAGUUCACCAAAGAGAGUGAUAGUCUCGUAUGUUAAGGGUUUCAAACUUUAUUAUUUAUAUUCUUGAGUAGGGCGGGGCACGAGAAACCCUGUUUGAAUCUGGGAGGACCACCUUCCAAGGCUAAAUAUAUUUUGCGAUCGAUAGUGGACAAGUACCGUGAGGGAAAGGUGAAAAGAACCCCUAGGCGGGGAGUGAAAUAGACCCUGAAACUGUGUGCAUACAAGGAGUCGGAGCCGAUUUAUUCGGUGACGGCGUGCUUUUUGCAGAACGAUCCAGCGAGUUACUGUAUGUCAGCAAGCUUAAACCAGUCAAGUGGUGAAGGCGUAGUGAAAGCGAGGCUUAAGUGGCCGUAUAUAGUUGCAUGCAGUAGACCCGAAACCGAGUGAUCUAUCCAUGGGCAGGUUGAAGCGUAGGUGAAACUACGUGGAGGACCGUACCAGUGUAUUGAGUGCUUGGAUGACCUGUGGAUAGCGGUGAAAUGCUAAUCGAACUCGGAAAUAGCUGGUUCUCCUCGAAAUAGCUGUAGGGCUAGCGUCAUGUGGUAGCUGAUGGGGGUAGAGCUCUGUUUUGGACUGGGGCUUUAAUCGGUACCCUUCCUUGAUAAACUACGAAUACUAUCAGUGAAAUCAUGGCAGUUAGAAUAUCGGUGCUAACAUCGGUAUUCAAGAGGGAAACAACCCAGACCAACAGUUAAGGUCCCUAAAUAUAUACUAAGUGGGAAACGAAGUUAGAUUUCUCAAACAGCGAGGAUGUUGGCUUAGAAGCAGCCAUUCAUUUAAAGAGUGCGUAAUAGCUCACUCGUCAAGAGAUCUUGCGCGGAAAAUGUAACGGGGCUUAAGUAUAUUACCGAAACUUUGGAUUGUUGGUAAUUCAUUUUGGAUUAUUGGCAGUGGUAGAGGAGCGUUCCUAUCGGCAUUGAAGUCAAACCGGUAAGGUUUGGUGGAGCGUUAGGAAGUGAGAAUGCUGGAAUGAGUAACUAGAAGAUAGGUGAGAAUCCUAUCCACCGAAAGAGCAAGGUUUCCUAGGCAAUGUUUAUCAACCUAGGGUUAGUCGGGCCUAAGCCGAGGCGAAUAGCGUAGGCGAUGGACAUCAGGUUAAUAUUCCUGAACCGGCGGUAACAUUGCAGGUAAUGCGCAAUCUGGUAGCUUAAGCAGGCGAUUGGUAUGUCUGUCUAAGUAUCUAGGUUUUCAAUCUGUCUUUGACAGCUUGGAAACUGAAGUAUGAACGGACUCAUUUUUUGGGUCUUAAGUGAGCCAAGUUGACUAGAAAAGUUUAUCUGUGCCAAAUUACUGUCCGCCCGUACCGCAGACCGAUGGGGUGCUCAGGUCGAGUAGACCAAGGUGAACGAGAGAACCUUUGCUAAGGAACUCGGCAAUACAGCGUCCGUAACUUAGGGAUAAGGACUGCCUUGAGCAAUCAAGGCCGCAGCGAAAGAACCCGUGCGACUGUUUAUUAAAAACACAGGUCUCUGCUAACACGAAAGUGGAUGUAUAGGGGCUGACACCUGCCCGGUGCCGGAAGGUUAAGGGGAGAGCUUAACGGUUUGAACUGAAGCCCCGGUGAACGGCGGCGGUAACUCUAACCGUCCUAAGGUAGCGAAGUUCCUUGUCGGGUAAGUUCCGACCCGCACGAAUGGUGUAACGAUAUGGGUACUGUCUCAGCAAAGGACUCGGUGAAAAUGCAAUGACGGUAAAGAUGCCGUCUGUCCGCAUCAGGACGGUAAGACCCCGUGGAGCUUUACUACAGCUUGAUAUUGAAUCGAGUAUAUCCAUGUGUAGCAUAGAUGGGAGACUGUGAAGCCAAGACGCUAGUCUUGGUCGAGUCAUCAGUGAAAUACCAUCCUUGGGUAUGUUUUAUUCUUGACUUAGCCCUUAAGGUGUCGAUUAAAAUUUUUAGUCGCCAGCUUCAGGGUUAAGGACAGUGUCUGGCGGGUAGUUUAACUGGGGCGGUUGCCUCCUAAAAAGUAGCGGAGGCGUUCCAAGGUUGGCUAGCUUCGGAUGGAAAUCGAAGUGGUAGUGCAAACGCAUAAGCCAGCUUGACUGUGAGGCUGACAAGCCAAUCAGGUACGAAAGUAGGAGUUAGUGGUCCGCUGUAAAGAUUAACAUUUGUUUAUCUACGAAAGUGGGAUUGACAGCGCAAUCGGAUAAAAGUUACCCCGGGGAUAACAGGCUAAUAGCGCCCAAUAGUUCACAUAGACGGCGCUGUUUGGCACCUCGAUGUCGGCUCAUCACAUCCUGGGGCUGGAGAAGGUCCCAAGGGUUCGGCUGUUCGCCGAUUAAAGUGGUACGCUAGCUGGGUUUAGGACGACGUGAGUCAGUCUGGUCGUUAUCCGAUGUGGACGUUUAAGAAACAUGCGAGGAGUUGUCUCUAGUACGAGAGGACCGAGAUGAACGCACCACUGGUGUAUGGGUUGUGGUACCAACUGCAUUGCCCAGUAGCUAUGUGCGGCUGUGAUAAGUGCUGAAAGCAUAUUAAGCACGAAGCCAACCUCAAGAUAAUGUUUCUCUAUUUAGGAUCCUGAAAGACUAUCAGGUUGAUAGGUGCAAGGUGUAAGUACAGUAAUGUAUUCAGCUGAAGCAUACUAAUUUCCGAUUGACUUUUUGUG